rnacentral:rRNA from 1 species
AUUGAACGCUGGCGGCAUGCCUUACACAUGCAAGUCGAACGGCAGCAUGGGUGCUUGCACCUGAUGGCGAGUGGCGAACGGGUGAGUAAUGCAUCGGAACGUACCCGGAAGUGGGGGAUAACGUAGCGAAAGUUACGCUAAUACCGCAUAUUCUGUGAGCAGGAAAGCGGGGGAUCGCAAGACCUCGCGCUUCCGGAGCGGCCGAUGUCGGAUUAGCUAGUUGGCGGGGUAAAGGCCCACCAAGGCAACGAUCCGUAGCGGGUCUGAGAGGAUGAUCCGCCACACUGGGACUGAGACACGGCCCAGACUCCUACGGGAGGCAGCAGUGGGGAAUUUUGGACAAUGGGCGCAAGCCUGAUCCAGCCAUGCCGCGUGCGGGAAGAAGGCCUUCGGGUUGUAAACCGCUUUCGGACAGAAAGAAAUCGCAUGGACUAAUACUCUGUGUGGAUGACGGUACUGUAAGAAGAAGCACCGGCUAACUACGUG